GUCAGGAUUAAACCUGUCCUAAUCUUUUAUUCCCAAUUUGGGGGAUUGAUCGUAUCCCGGAUUCUACUCCCUUUCCCUAAUCAAGUUCGAUUCGAAUUGAGUACAAUGGAUUUUUUUCCACUUGUUCGUCGCAGAGAUUUGUGUUUUCGGUGAACGACAUCCACCGGUGGAAUGCGGAAGCUUGAGAGGAAUAGAGAGAUCCAUUUGAAGAACAAACUUACAAUCGUAUUUGAAAGACAUGGUAAAAGAAGAGGAAAUUGUAGUUGUUGUCGAAGGUACAUAUGUAUGCAGUUGGUGUGGGUAAUAAUAGAAGAGGAGUUUCGACAGAGUACGAAUCUGUUAUGAGUUUGAUGAUUAAGAAAAUGUUUUUUAUUGGUCUUGUAUUGAGUGAAUGCUUGUUGCCGAUCUUGAUCAGGGAAAUCAUGGCCCCUAUCAAUGUUGUUGUUGUUGUUGGUGCAAGCGCGCGCCUCGUCGCCGUAGCGCUCGCGAGCCUGCUGCCCAUCUCGUCGAUCCAGCCUCCAGGCUGCAUAGGUUUACUUCGUGCGUAAUGUUGAAUUAAAUUUAGGGAUUUUUUGUGAGGAAUUCAAUUGCAUUGAUGGUACAAUGGAGUUUACGACAGCUGAACCGCCAAAGCGUCGUGGGUGUUGGAUUGAUUUUUCAUAAGGGAUUCCGUUCAUCGUAGAAUUAUGUUAA